GAUGAACGCUGGCGGCGUGCCUAAUACAUGCAAGUCGAGCGAACAGACGAGGAGCUUGCUCCUCUGACGUUAGCGGCGGAAGGGUGAGUAACACGUGGAUAACCUCCCUAUAAGACUGGGAUAAAUUCGGGAAACCGGAGCUAAUACCGGAUAAUAUAUUGAACCGCAUGGUUCAAUAGUGAAAGACGGUUUUGCUGUCACUUAUAGAUGGAUCCGCGCCGCAUUAGCUAGUUGGUAAGGUAACGGCUUACCAAGGCAACGAUGCGUAGCCGACCUGAGAGGGUGAUCGGCCACACUGGAACUGAGACACGGUCCAGACUCCUACGGGAGGCAGCAGUAGGGAAUCUUCCGCAAAGGGCGAAAGCCUGACGGAGCAACGCCGCGUGAGUGAUGAAGGUCUUCGGAUCGUAAAACUCUGUUAUUAGGGAAGAACAAAUGUUUAAGUAACUAUGCACGUCUUGACGGUACCUAAACAGAAAGCCACGGCUAACUACGUG
rnacentral:rRNA from 1 species